GCGCCCGUAGCUCAGCUGGAUAGAGCGUUGCCCUCCGAAGGCAAAGGUCACACGUUCGAAUCGUGUCGGGCGCGCCA
rnacentral:tRNA from 61 species